AAUUCAGCGAUAAAGCAUUUUUUUUUACAUUUUUACAGUUUUUAAGGAAUAGUUCAUUUAGGAUUCUCCACCAAGUAUUUAAGUCUCCUUUAAUAAGAAAUUCCAUAUUUACAAACACAGAGGGCGCUUUGUAUCAUUCGAAACCAGUUGGGGAUACUGGAAAGACGAUUGAUCAACUUUUUGAAGAGAAAAUGAAUGAAUACAAAACCAAAAGCAGAAGCAUUGGAGGAAAAUUAUUUGAACCAACUGAAAAGAUAUUGAAAGAACUUAACGACGAAUAUUGUCGUAUAAAUAAAUUAUACGGUGUUGAAGAUGAAGCAGAAUUUGAAGAAUUCCCAACUUUUGAUUUCAAGGACCCGGAAAUCGAUCCAAUUAAUGAAAUAAAUACAGACAAUGACGAGUCUUCAGAAAAUAAAUAGUAAAUUUGUAUAUUUUUCUAUCAAA